AAAUACUUCGUAUGUGAAUCAGGAAACAGUAAGUAACGAAGAACCAAAUCAGGAAGGAUGAGGAAAAACACGUGAGGAACAAGUAGCGGAGAGCCACAGUACAUUUCACUUUCACUCUCAUCAUCAAAGCCAGACAAGGAGGACAGCAGCUAAAGAAAUAGGCAUGGUGUCCUAACAUAGGAAGCACGUUGGGGAGAAUGGAAAUCUUCUUCCAGGGGAAGAAGACUGGAGAACUGGGAACAUCGCUGCCCUCAGCUGAGACAGAUGCUGUGUUUGAGUCUCUACAGUGUUGGUCUGUGGUCUGCGCCUUUUCGCCCAUCACAUUCGGAAAAGGAAACGUAUAGGUGUGCUUUUAGCUCUGGGUGACAAUACUGGGAAUUCCUUAAACACGGACACUCAAAUGUGGACAGGAAAUGUAAGCGAGGAGGCAGGCUCUCUCACGUCCAACUUCCCAUGGUGCCGCCGAAGUCAAUGCGGGUGAGUUUGCACCCAUGCCGAGCGCAUGUGUGCCCAGCUUGCGUGCCCUAUGGCUGGCACCCAGACUCACAAGCCGGCAGGACUAUAGACGGUCCUCAAGCAUGGACUGCAGAGAAGCAACGACACGAAACUCGACUUCCGGAAGCUACCGUGGUCGGUGAGCUGCCUGCAAAGGGUGAAUGAUUGGAACGCCCCUGGCCCCCGGGGCUGGGAGAACAGGCGCUUUGCAACGAACUUCACCAAGUGGAGCUGUGAAUAAAACUAUGUUGCUUAACUUCGGAUGUCAACUUGAUGAAACCCGCCAUCACCUGGAAAGAGAAACCUCAGUGAGGGAAUCUGGAUUCUCUACCUUGGGGUUGCCUUAACUAAGUUCAUCGAUACAGGAAAACCCAGCCCACUGUGGACAGGCACCAUCCCCUAGGCAGGGGAAUCCUGACCUACAAAAUAGUGGAGAAAUCCAGACGAGUGAAGCAGUUUUUUAUGCUCUUGACUGUGGAUGCGAUUCGACCAGGUCUUUGAAGUUCCUGCCUUGAUGUCCUCACAAUGAUGGACGACAGCGUGGAAUGAACACCUGGGAAACCUGGGAGGCGCAUCUCUGGGUAUGGCUGUGGAUGCUUUCCUGAGAGGAUUGCCUGGGGAUGGAAGACCCACCCUGAACCCUCUGAAGACUUGGGGACUGGAUUGGGGGGAAGAGUGAGGAGGAAGUUCUGGCACACCACCAUGUCCCUUUCUCUGCAUCUGGUCCUCCACGAAGAGGCUGCUCUGUUAGAAGCUCCCACUGCUGUAAUGCUUGGACCCAGAAAAAUGGAGGCAAGUGACCUGAAUCCUACGGAACCAAGAACUGAGAUGACAGUUUCCUCCCUAAGUGGUUUCUCUCAUGUAACUUGAUCACAGCAAUGCAAAUCUGAGUGACAUGGUCAUCAUUGCUACUUUUGUGACGAAUACAGUCCCAUUCUUUUGAGGGAAAUCACAUCAUUUUCAUUUUUAUCUAUAUAGAUACUCUGCUUCCUGUCUUAAAAAGGUUUGUCUGAGUCACUCUGAAUUAUGGUAUCCUUUCCGAAGACACAAAUAACACAGCUACA